rnacentral:rRNA from 1 species
AUUGAACGCUGGCGGCAUGCUUUACACAUGCAAGUCGAACGGUAACAGGUUAAGCUGACGAGUGGCGAACGGGUGAGUAAUGCAUCGGAACGUGCCCGGUCGUGGGGGAUAACGCAGCGAAAGUUGCGCUAAUACCGCAUACGAUCUGAGGAUGAAAGCGGGGGACCGUAAGGCCUCGCGCGAUCGGAGCGGCCGAUGUCAGAUUAGAUAGUUGGUGGGGUAAAGGAUCACCAAGCCAACGAUCUGUAGCUGGUCUGAGAGGACGACCAGCCACACUGGGACUGGGACACGGCCCAGACUCCUACGGGAGGCAGCAGUGGGGAAUUUUGGACAAUGGGCGAAAGUCUGAUCCAGCAAUGCCGCGUGCAGGAAGAAGGCCUUCGGGUUGUAAACUGCUUUUGUACGGAGCGAAAAGGUCUCCUCUAAUACAGGGGGCUCAUGACGGUACCGUAAGAAUAAGCACCGGCUAACUACGUGCCAGCCGCCGCGGUAA